rnacentral:rRNA from 1 species
GGGCUUCGACCGGCGUACGGGUGCGUAACGCGUAUACAAUCUGCCUUUCACAUAGGGAUAGCCCGAAGAAAUUUGGAUUAAUACCUAAUGGUAUAUAGGGGUGGCAUCACCUUUAUAUUAAAGCUGAGGCGGUGAAAGAUGAGUAUGCGUUCUAUUAGCUAGUUGGAGAGGUAACGGCUCCCCAAGGCGACGAUAGAUAGGGGUUCUGAGAGGGAUAUCCCCCACACUGGUACUGAGAUACGGACCAGACUCCUACGGGAGGCAGCAGUGAGGAAUAUUGGACAAUGGUCGGAAGACUGAUCCAGCCAUGCCGCGUGCAGGAAGACGGCCUUAUGGGUUGUAAACUGCUUUUGCAGGGGAAGAAUAAGGACUACGCGUAGUUUGAUGACGGUACUCUGCGAAUAAGCAUCGGCUAACUCCGUGCCAGCAGCCGCGGUAAUACGGAGGAUGCGAGCGUUAUCCGGAAUCAUUGGGUUUAAAGGGUCCGUAGGCGGGCUAAUAAGUCAGAGGUGAAAGCGCUCAGCUCAACUGAGCAACUGCCUUUGAAACUGUUAGUCUUGAAUGGUUGUGAAGUAGUUGGAAUGUGUAGUGUAGCGGUGAAAUGCUUAGAUAUUACACAGAACACCGAUAGCGAAGGCAUAUUACUAACAAUUAAUUGACGCUGAUGGACGAAAGCGUGGGGAGCGAACAGGAUUAGAU